AUUGAACGCUGGCGGCAUGCCUUACACAUGCAAGUCGGACGGCAGCAUGGAGAGCUUGCUCUCUGAUGGCGAGUGGCGAACGGGUGAGUAAUGCAUCGGAACGUACCGUGUAAUGGGGGAUAACGUAGCGAAAGUUACGCUAAUACCGCAUACGACCUGAGGGUGAAAGCAGGGGAUCGCAAGACCUUGCGUUAUACGAGCGGCCGAUGUCAGAUUAGCUAGUUGGUGAGGGAAAGGCUCACCAAGGCAACGAUCUGUAGCGGGUCUGAGAGGAUGAGCAGCCACACUGGGACUGAGACACGGCCCAGACUCCUGUGGGAGGCAGCAGUGGGGAAUUUUGGACAAUGGGGGCAACCCUGAUCCAGCCAUGCCGCGUGAGUGAAGAAGGCCUUCGGGUUGUAAAGCUCUUUCGGCCGGGAAGAAAUCGCACAGGCUAAUACUCUGUGUGGAUGACGGUACCGGCAUAAGAAGCACCGGCUAACUACGUGCCAGCCGCCGCGGUAA
rnacentral:rRNA from 1 species